AUUGAACGCUGGCGGCAGGCCUAACACAUGCAAGUCGAACGGUAACAGGAAACAGCUUGCUGUUUCGCUGACGAGUGGCGGACGGGUGAGUAAUGUCUGGGAAACUGCCUGAUGGAGGGGGAUAACUACUGGAAACGGUAGCUAAUACCGCAUAACGUCGCAAGACCAAAGAGGGGGACCCUCGGGCCUCUUGCCAUCGGAUGUGCCCAGAUGGGAUUCGCUUGUUGGUGGGGUAACGGCUCACCAAGGCGACGAUCCCUAGCUGGUCUGAGAGGAUGACCAGCCACACUGGAACUGAGACACGGUCCAGACUCCUACGGGAGGCAGCAGUGGGGAAUAUUGCACAAUGGGCGCAAGCCUGAUGCAGCCAUGCCGCGUGUAUGAAGAAGGCCUUCGGGUUGUAAAGUACUUUCAGCGGGGAGGAAGGGAGUAAAGUUAAUACCUUUGCUCAUUGACGUUACCCGCAGAAGAAGCACCGGCUAACUCCGUG
rnacentral:rRNA from 1 species